GCCUGGGUGGCUCAGUCGGUUGAGCAUCUGACUUUAGCUCUGGUCAUGACCUCGAGGUCCGUGGGUUCGAGCCCCACGUCAGGCU
rnacentral:tRNA from 1 species